UGUGUCGUGGAGUUGCUAAUGCUAACAAUUAGCUUCUACUUGUCUAAAUGUUCUCUGCUGUUUCCUGGACACUCUGUCAUGUUCUUGGGCAGAGGUGAGUCAGACCAUCUCCUCUCACCAGACUCUGAGCUAAUUCUCCACAGGUGAGGAGCAGGGGGAGUGGCAGCUGCAGGAGAUUUUCCAGUCAGGGACGUGGGUUCAAAAGGAGGAUGGAGACACAUCACUUUGCCGGAUGAUUGCACCAGUUUAGGAUCCUCUCCUCAUCUACUCAUUCGCUGUCUACGUUCCCUGGAUAAUACUCACCACAUCCCAUCCUCCUCUGCUGCUCCUGUUUGGCUUCCCUCUGCUACCUCGCCUCUCCUGGACCUCUCACCCUCUGCCCAGCGCCCUUCCCGGCUUCCUCUCAUCUCCUCAUUAACCUGAGCACUUCAGAGACUCGAGCCGUAUUGCUCAUCCCACAGGACUUCCCUGUGCGGUUUCAGUUCCCGUUUUAUAAUAAAGACAUUUUACUUUA